UAGCUGCAUUAUUUGACGUUAGCGACAGAAGAAAGCACCGGCUAACUCCGUGCCAGCAGCCGCGGUAAUACGGAGGGUGCGAGCGUUAAUCGGAAUUACUGGGCGUAAAGCGCAUGCAGGUGGUUUGUUAAGUUCAGAUGUGAAAGACCCGGGGCGUCAACCUCGGAAUAGCAUUUGAAACUAGGCAGACUAGAGUACUGUAGAGGGGGGUAGGAAUUUCAGGUGUAGCGGUGAAAUAGCGUAGAGAUCUGAAGGAAUACCGGUGGCGAAGGCGGCCCCCUCGGACAGAUACUGACACUCAGAUGCGAAAGCGUGGGGAGCAAACAGGAUUAGAUACCCUGGUAG
rnacentral:rRNA from 1 species